rnacentral:rRNA from 1 species
GAUGAACGCUGGCGGUCUGCUUAACACAUGCAAGUCGAACGGAAUCCUUCGGGAUUUAGUGGCGGACGGGUGAGUAACGCGUGAGAAUCUGCCUUCAGGUUCGGGACAACAGCUGGAAACGGCUGCUAAUACCAGAUGUGCCGAGAGGUGAAAGCUUUAGUGCCUGAAGAUGAGCUCGCGUCUGAUUAGCUAGUAGGAGUGGUAAUGGCACCCCUAGGCGACGAUCAGUAGCUGGUCUGAGAGGAUGAUCAGCCACACUGGGAUUGAGACACGGCCCAGACUCCUACGGGAGGCAGCAGUGGGGAAUUUUCCGCAAUGGGCGCAAGCCUGACGGAGCAAGACCGCGUGAGGGAAGAAGGUCUGUGGAUUGUAAACCUCUUUUGAUGGGGAAGAAGACAGUGACGGUACCCAUCGAAUCAGCCUCGGCUAACUCCGUGCCAGCCGCCGCAGUAA